rnacentral:rRNA from 1 species
CCUACGGGAGGCAGCAGUGGGGAAUAUUGGGCAAUGGGCGCAAGCCUGACCCAGCAACGCCGCGUGAAGGAAGAAGGCUUUCGGGUUGUAAACUUCUUUUCUCAGGGACGAAGAAAGUGACGGUACCUGAGGAAUAAGCCACGGCUAACUACGUGCCAGCAGCCGCGGUAAUACGUAGGUGGCAAGCGUUAUCCGGAUUUAUUGGGUGUAAAGGGCGUGUAGGCGGGAGCGCAAGUCAGAUGUGAAAACUCAGGGCUCAACCCUGAGCCUGCAUUUGAAACUGUGUUUCUUGAGUGCUGGAGAGGCAAUCGGAAUUCCGUGUGUAGCGGUGAAAUGCGUAGAUAUACGGAGGAACACCAGUGGCGAAGGCGGUCUGCUGGACAGCAACUGACGGUGAGGCGCGAAAGCGUGGGGAGCAAACAGGAUUAGAUACCCCAGUAGUC